GACGAACCGAGCGAACGUUGUUCGGAAUCACUGGGCUUAAAGGGCGCGUAGGCGGGUGCUCAAGUCCGUGGUGAAAUCCUCCGGCUCAACCGGAGAACUGCCUCGGAUACUGGGUGCCUCGAGGGUGGUAGGGGUAUGCGGAACUAUCGGUGGAGCGGUGAAAUGCGUUGAUAUCGAUAGGAACUCCGGUGGCGAAGGCGGCAUACUGGACCACCUCUGACGCUGAGGCGCGAAAGCCAGGGGGAGCAAACGGG
rnacentral:rRNA from 1 species